CAGAGCCCGGUAAUUGCGAGAGGCCUAAGCCCUUUUUCUCAGAGGUUCAAACCCUCUCCUUAGCU
rnacentral:tRNA from 2 species